CGUAGUUAGUGCGUAAUUUACACCAUAAGCGCACUGGGCUUUAUGAAAUAUCAUGAUCUAAAGAGGAUUUACUGAUUACUUAGAAGACUUGCGGCUGGGUGGGAUGCGUUCAUAGAGCGUGUUGUUGUGUUAUCGCAGCGUUGGUGAGGAUGUCUGCAUCGCUGGAAAUCUCUGUCAGAAAGCCUAACCUGUUUCCGCUGCAGUACAGUGGGCUUUUUAAUUCGAAAUGUCUCAAAGGAGAAAGCAGUAACGCUGGCUUUGAGCACAAGUGG